UAACCUGGUUGAUCCUGCCAGUUAGUCAUAUGCUUGUCUUAAAGACUAAGCCAUGCAUGUCUAAGUAUAAAUAGUAUACAGUGAAACUGCGAAUGGCUCAUUAAAACAGUUAUAGUUUAUUUGAUAAUAUUUUCUACAUGGAUAACUGUAGUAACAUAGAGCUAAUACAUGCUGUCACGCCCGACCUUUGGAA
rnacentral:rRNA from 1 species